rnacentral:rRNA from 1 species
GACGAACGCUGGCGGCGUGCUUAACACAUGCAAGUCGAACGAUGAUGCCAGCUUGCUGGUGGAUUAGUGGCGAACGGGUGAGUAACACGUGAGUAACCUACCCCUUACUUCGGGAUAACCAUUGGAAACGGUGGCUAAUACUGGAUAUGAGGCAUGGCCGCAUGGUCUGUGUCUGGAAAGAUUUAUUGGUGGGGGAUGGACUCGCGGCCUAUCAGUUUGUUGGUGAGGUAAUGGCUCACCAAGGCGAUGACGGGUAGCCGGCCUGAGAGGGCGACCGGCCACACUGGGACUGAGAUACGGCCCAGACUCCUACGGGAGGCAGCAGUGGGGAAUAUUGCACAAUGGGCGAAAGCCUGAUGCAGCGACGCCGCGUGGGGGAUGAAGGCCUUCGGGUUGUAAACUCCUUUUAGUAGGGAAGAAGCGAGAGUGACGGUACCUGCAGAAAAAGCGCCGGCUAACUACGUG